UACGAAGGGGGCUAGCGUUGCUCGGAAUCACUGGGCGUAAAGCGCACGUAGGCGGCUUUUUAAGUCAGGGGUGAAAUCCUGGAGCUCAACUCCAGAACUGCGUUUGAUACUGAGAAGCUUGAGUCCGGGAGAGGUGAGUGGAACUGCGAGUGUAGAGGUGAAAUUCGUAGAUAUUCGCAAGAACACCAGUGGCGAAGGCGGCUCACUGGCCCGGUACUGACGCUGAGGUGCGAAAGCGUGGGGAGCAAACAGG
rnacentral:rRNA from 1 species